AGGGAGUAUUCGGCAAUGGAGGGAACUCUGACCGAGCAACGCCGCGUGAAUGACGAAGGUCUUCGGAUUGUAAAAUUCUGUUAUAUGGGAAGAAAGAUAAGAUAAGGAAAUGUAUUUUAUUUGACCGUACCAUAUGAGAAAGCCACGGCUAACUACGUGCCAGCAGCCGCGGUAAUACGUAGGUGGCAAGCGUUAUCCGGAAUUAUUGGGCGUAAAGAGAGAGCAGGCGGUUAUUCAAGUCUGAAGUGAAAAGCAGUGGCUUAACCAUUGUAGGCUUUGGAAACUAGAUAGCUAGAGUGCAAGAGAGGUUAGCGGAACUCCAUGUGUAGCGGUGAAAUGCGUAGAUAUAUGGAAGAACACCAGUGGCGAAGGCGGCUAACUAGCUUGAAACUGACGCUCAGUCUCGAAAGCGUGGGUAGCAAAUAGGAUUAGAUACCCUAGUAGUCCACGCUGUAAACGAUGAGUACUAGGUGUUGGGGAAACUCAGCGCCGAAGUUAACACAAUAAGUACUCCGCCUGGGUAGUACGUUCGCAAGAAUGAAACUUAAAGGAAUUGACGGGGGCCCGCACAAGCAGUGGAGCAUGUGGUUUAAUUCGACGCUACGCGAAGAACCUUACCAGGACUUGACAUCUGAUUAAAGGCUCUAGAGAUAGAGAGAUAGUUAUAGUCAAGACAGGUGGUGCAUGGUUGUCGUCAGCUCGUGUCGUGAGAUGUUGGGUUAAGUCCCGCAACGAGCGCAACCCUCGUCCUUAGUUGCCAGCAGUAAGAUGGGAACUCUAAGGAGACCGCCGGUAUAAGCCGGAGGAAGAUGGGGAUGACGUCAAAUCAUCAUGCCCUUUAUGUCCUGGGCGACACACGUGCUACAAUGGCCGGUACAAAGAGAAGCAAGACCGCGAGGUGGAGCAAAUCUCAUAAAGCCGGUCUCAGUUCGGAUUGGAGUCUGCAACUCGACUACAUGAAGUUGGAAUUGCUAGUAAUCGCGGAUCAGCCAUGUCGCGGUGAAUACGUUCCCGGGCCUUGUACACACCGCCCGUCAAACCAUGAGAGCUGGUUUUACUCGAAGUCGUUAUUCUAACCGUAAGGAGGAAGGCGCCUAAGGUAGGACUGGUGAUUGGGGUUAAGUCGUAACAAGGUAUCCCUACGGGAACGUGGGG
rnacentral:rRNA from 1 species